rnacentral:rRNA from 1 species
AGUGCUCAGGCAUAGUGCCUGAGCUUUUGUGUACUGUAGGGUGGUACACGAAGAAGGGCUGGGCAAGACCGGUGCCAGCCGCCGCGGUAACACCGGCAGCCCGAGUGAUAGCCAAUUUUAUUGGGCCUAAAGGGUUCGUAGCCGGCCUUGCAAGUCCGUUGGGAAAGUUGCGCGCUCCCCGCGCAGUCGUCCAGCGGAUACUGUGAGGCUUGGGACCAGGCGACUUGAGGGGUACGUCCGGGGUAGGAGUGAAAUCCUGUAAUCCUGGCCGGACCGCCGAUGGCGAAAGCACCUCAAGAGACUGGCUCCGACGGUGAGGAACGAAAGCUAGGGUCUCGAACCGGAUUAGAUACCCGGGUAGUCCUAGCUGUAAACGAUGCCUGUUAGAUGUAGCGCAGACUACGCGUUUGCGCUGUGUCGCAGUGAAGACGCUAAACAGGCCGCCUGGGAAGUACGUCUGCAAGGAUGAAACUUAAAGGAAUUGGCGGGGGAGCACCACAACCGGAGGAGCCUGCGGUUUAAUUGGACUCAACGCCGGACAUCUCACCAGCACCGACUGUAGUGAUGACGGUCAGGGUGAUGCUCUUACUCGAGUUACAGAGAGGAGGUGCAUGGCCGCCGUCAGCUCGUACCGUGAGGCAUCCUGUUAAGUCAGGUAACGAGCGAGAUCCACACCUCUAGUUGCCAGCAGCAUCUUGCGAUGGCUGGGUACACUGGGGGGACUGCCGUGGUUAACACGGAGGAAGGAAUGGGCAACGGUAGGUCAGCAUGCCCCGAAUGUGCUGGGCGACACGCGGGCUACAAUGGCCAAGACAACGGGUUCCGCCACCG